UACGGAGGGUGCAAGCGUUAAUCGGAAUUACUGGGCGUAAAGCGUGCGUAGGCGGUUGUUUAAGUCAGAUGUGAAAGCCCCGGGCUUAACCUGGGAACUGCAUUUGAUACUGGGUAACUAGAGUUUAAUAGAGGAGAGUGGAAUUUCAGGUGUAGCGGUGAAAUGCGUAGAGAUCUGAAGGAACACCAGUGGCGAAGGCGACUCUCUGGAUUAAAACUGACGCUGAGGUACGAAAGCGUGGGUAGCAAACAGG
rnacentral:rRNA from 1 species